GGCACCUCCUACUAGAUGUAGUCCAUGACACGAAACAACGUGAAAGCUGGUAGGGAAUUAAGUACAGUAUGAAUACUGUCGUCUUUUUUUAAUUCAACAAGGAGGGAUCAGCCAAUGAAGUUGGAAGUCCCACCCAGUUGACUACAAUGAGAUGGUGGAAGCUCUCAAAGGUGCUUCCCAUGCUAACACAGACUUAUGGCCACUAGAGGCCUCUAGCAUUCUCUAUGGUUUGAGCAGCUCAAGUGUGUUGCAUUAUGGAGACAAAAAUUGUCAGACUUGCACCUACAUGUGUACUGCAUGAACUUUAACAAGCCCUUUGAUCACAUGGUUUUUGUAAUGGGCUUGUUUAACAUUGCAGCCGACAGUGCAGGCGGAUGCCGACUGACUGAUCUACAAAGAACCUUGUUUAAUAAAUAACUACUCAUUAUUAUUUGUAGAUCAGUCAGUCAUUCACAAUUUACCCAUGAUACAUUACUGUUUUGAUCCUCUCUAACAGUCUAUAAUGAAGUUGUCUUCAAGUCGCUGCAGUUGCUUCAAACCAACUGCACCAUGCAGCCAUCACCUGCAUUGAGGCACUAUUUGUCAACCAAUCAUUAGGGUGUUUUUGGUUCACUCACGCAAACUUGACCAAAGACGUUACUGAAACAGGAACUAACUUUGACACGAUUCUAAAGCUACAGGAUAUACAAAUGAAAGUGAUAUUUGAGAUCUCUAACCAAUUAUUUUCAAACAAGUUAAAUCAAAUACAUUUUUAUUCGUCACAUGCUUUGUAAACGGCAGGUAGCCUAGUGGUUAGAGCGUUGGCCCAGUAACCGAAAGGUUGCUAGAUCAAUCCCCGAGCUGUCAAGGUAAAAAUCUGUCUUUCUGCCCCUAAACAAGGCAGUUAACUCACUGUUCCUAGGCCAUCAUUGUAAAUAACACUUUACUUUCCAAGUUAAAUAAACAACAGGUGUAGACUAAAACGCCAUUCCAAAACAAUGCAGAUAGAAAGAAAAUUGAUAGUAAAAUAAUAGUAAUGUAAUAGUAAAUACACAAUGACUUGACUAUAUACAUGAGGUAUCAAGUCGAUGUGCAGGGAACGAGGUAUGUACAUAUAACUAGGAAUAAAGUGACUAGUCAACAGGACAGAUAAACAGUAGCAGCAGUGUGUUAUGUGGGGUUAUGAAAAGUUCAUUUAAACAUUUAGAAAGACUCUUCCCCAAAUGUUAAUUGAAAACAAAUACAUUUGCACAAAUACAUCGUUACAGUUAGCUAGAACAUUUUUGCCAUAUUAGCAUUGACAUGAAACCAGUCAAAACACCUCAAAACAAGACAUGGUAUCAAGAACAAGAUAAAACUAGCUGAAAUGUGCCAACUACGAUUCCCUGCAUGUCAUUGUUGCUAGCUACAGCAUCUGACUAUUCAGAAUCAUAACUAAGCCCGGCUUCCGGCCCCAUCAAUGCGUACGCAUAAUUUGUGACGUUGUCAGCCAACCCGUCUAUAUGAUAUCAAAGUCCCACCUACUUCCUGCUUUAAGUCCCGUACUGUUUUCUAAUAUAUGUUUUUAAUUAUAUCAUCAAAUUCAUUAAAACGUGGUCAUUUAAAAUAUAUGUACUAUUUGUGGAUUAA